rnacentral:rRNA from 1 species
GAUGAACGCUGGCGGCGCGCCUAACACAUGCAAGUCGAACGAUUAAACCGCCCUCGGGCGGACAUACAGUGGCGAACGGGUGAGUAACACGUGACCAACCCGCCCCCUCCUCCGGGACAACCUCGGGAAACCGUGGCUAAUACCGGAUACUCCGGCAGCAGCGCAUGCUGCGGCCGGGAAAGCCCAGACGGGAGGGGAUGGGGUCGCGGCCCAUCAGGUAGACGGCGGGGCAACGGCCCGCCGUGCCGACGACGGGUAGCCGGGCUGAGAGGCUGAUCGGCCACAUUGGGACUGAGACACGGCCCAGACUCC